CCCUUAGACACUCUAGGCGGCACGCGCGCUACAAUGGGUGGAAGAACGUGUUACUGCCUCCGAAAGGAGGGGUGAAUCACGAAUUCUUGCCCGUGAAUGGGAUAGUUUGUUGCAAUUUUCGGACUUGAACUAGGAAUCCCUUGUAAACAUGCUCAAGAAUAGCGUGUUGAAUACGUCCCUGCCGUUUGUACACACCGCCCGUCGUUUCUUCCGACUGAUACUCAUUGUGAGUUGCAAGGACCCUUUAUUGGGAAAUUGCUGCAAAUGCUUUGUGUUGGAGGAAGAAAAAGUCGUAACA
rnacentral:rRNA from 1 species